GCAUAAACCGACGUCUUCUUGUUUUUCCUCGCCCUCUUCUUGUUUAUUGAGGCUGUUUAUUACCUCGUAUUCUCCAUCGAUCGUGCUGCAUACUAACGCUGGACGCGAUCCGGGGACGUUUCACUUCGCAGCAGAACAAGUGGAAAAACUGAACUCCAUCACAAGGUGUUGGACACAGAGCAGCCAAAGCAGCUGAAAUCUUCAAAAGUCACAUGGAUCAUCUUGCUCGCAUGUUGAUGUGGCUGUGAGAAAACACAAUCAGCAGUGGUGAAGUGUCUGGCUUCGACUGUAUGUGAGCUCAUACAAUAAAUAUUUAUGUGAUUUGUCCUCCAUAGAGGAGGAAGUCAUGUGAACUGUUAUCUGGGCGGGGGCAGCCUGGAGAUCUAACAGACUGGCACCCACACCUGACAGGAAGAGUGUUGUGGUUGACAAGGUGGAAAUUAUGAACAUCGACUGGCUGGAAAACUGGCUCAGAGGUCAUCUGCUUCACUGUGUUUCUCUCGUAGAUGAAGCCACUGAAGGAACUGCUACUGCCAGGACCUUUUUACUUUCUUCAACAUAGAAAGUACUUCUGGAUCAGUGCUGUGUUUUUUUUGUGUAUGCUCGGUCUUCUCAAACCCACAGUCGGUCAUGGCAGAAGGCCGUUCACAUUGAGCCGGAUUCUGCAGGAGGUGUCACUACAUGCAUGCUCAGUAUGAGGGAUCGCUGCAAAAUCAAUGCAAGUGACAUAAAGCAUUACUUCCUGUUUUCCAGAUGUAGAAAUAUACCAUGCCAGAGGCUCAUUUAUUUUAGCCACUCUUCAAAAUGGGAAAGACAAUAUACCAUUUAAGCAUACGUAUGUUGAGCUUAAUAAGGCCGUAGAUAGCUUAAAGAAAUUAGCCAUCUACACACCGACUUGGAGGCAAGCCAGGAAAGCGACUUUUCUGUCCUACUUUCGCAAACAGAGGAUAUGAAGUCUGUUAAAUGCUACUGAGACUUACCUGGAACUGUGUUUUGGUCCGAUGAGACCAUGAUUUAGCUUGUUGGUAGCAAACAUUCCAGGAGGUUCUGGUGUAAAGCAAAGGACAUGCAGCAAACUUUCUCAUGCUCACUGUUAAGUACAGUGAAGAAUCUGUGAUGCUUCCAAAGGCCGUGGAAACCUUAUUGGACUGCAAUCAGUGAUCGCCUUUUCUGAAAUACAAGAACAUCUAAAAACCAGUUAUCUGGUGACCUCUGAUAACUGAAAAUGGGACAUCUUUCAGCAGGACAAUGAUGCAAAAGCAUGUAUGGAAAUGCUCCGCUAGGCACAAUAGGACGACACGUAGGCUUCUGAAUGAGCCUACGUGUCGUCCUGCUGCCAAUAACCAUGGUGCACAUGGUUUCAUGUAAAAAACUGAUUUCUUAUCGUGGGAUUUUUCCCCACUGAUAAACGUAACAUUUUAAUUAAAAUAAAUUAGUGUGAGACUAUGCUACUGCAAAAUUAGAAACAUUUAUUUUAAGGCCUUUUACACAUAUUCACCAGGGAUACCAACAAAGUGAGGCAGUAAAUCCAGACAGCUGACUCCAAAAAUAAAAGUAUGGAAGCUCCUUUGAAAACUAAACACAAAUCAUUCAAGAACUCACGAAGAGGCAAGAGGAGAGCUGCAGCCUCCUGCAGGAGCUGGAGAGCUUUACUCAGUCUGCUGGAAAUAAAUGAUUGUUAAGACUUAACAAAGAACACUUGGCUUUAUUUGCAACAAAAUCUGUUUUUUAAUGAGUUAUAUUAUAAGGCAAAAGCCUGUUCAAAUUACAAGCCUUGUCCAAUACUUGAGUUAGCUUUAGUAAUAUUAUUUUUAACUGUGAUUUUUUUUUCCAUCAACAGUCCUGAGGAAAACUCUUCAUUUGCAUCCUUUCAGUGUAACAUUUAGGUGAUAAUAAUCAGCUAAUUGUUGAACAGACUGAUAUAAAACUGAAACAUGUUUGCUGUAUUAUAAGAAAGAGUUCAAAUGUAACAAAAGGAUAUAAAUAGCAUUUACAACACCA